GACGAACGCUGGCGGCGUGCUUAACACAUGCAAGUCGAGCGGUAAGGCCCUUUCGGGGGUACACGAGCGGCGAACGGGUGAGUAACACGUGGGUGACCUGCCCUCAGCUCUGGGAUAAGCCUGGGAAACCGGGUCUAAUACCGGAUAUGACUCCAUGACGCAUGUUGUGGGGUGGAAAGCCUUGUGCGGCUGAGGAUGGGCCCGCGGCCUAUCAGCUUGUUGGUGGGGUGAUGGCCUACCAAGGCGACGACGGGUAGCCGGCCUGAGAGGGCGACCGGCCACACUGGGACUGAGACACGGCCCAGACUCCUACGGGAGGCAGCAGUGGGGAAUCUUGCGCAAUGGGCGAAAGCCUGACGCAGCGACGCCGCGUGAGGAUGACGGCCU
rnacentral:rRNA from 1 species